rnacentral:rRNA from 1 species
GACGAACGCUGGCGGCGUGCUUAACACAUGCAAGUCGAACGGAAAGGCCCUGCUUUUGUGGGGUGCUCGAGUGGCGAACGGGUGAGUAACACGUGAGUAACCUGCACUUGACUUUGGGAUAACUUCAGGAAACUGGGGCUAAUACCGGAUAGGAGCUCCUGCUGCAUGGUGGGGGUUGGAAAGUUUCGGCGGUUGGGGAUGGACUCGCGGCUUAUCGGCUUGUUGGUGGGGUAGUGGCUUACCAAGGCUUUGACGGGUAGCCGGCCUGAGAGGGUGACCGGCCACAUUGGGACUGAGGUACGGCCCAGACUCCUACGGGAGGCAGCAGUGGAGAAUAUUGCACAAUGGGCGGAAGCCUGAUGCGGAAACGCCGCGUGCGGGAUGACGGCCUUCGAGUUGUAAACCGCUUUCGCCUGUGACGAAGCGUGAGUGACGGUAAUGAGUAAAGAAGCACCGGCUAACUACGUG